rnacentral:rRNA from 1 species
GACGAACGCUGGCGGCGCGCUUAACACAUGCAAGUCGAACGGAAAGGCCUGCUUUCCCUUGUGGAUUGCGGGUACUCGAGUGGCGAACGGGUGAGUAACACGUGAGUGAUCUGCCCCCAACUUGGGUAUAAGCCUGGGAAACUGGGUCUAAUUCCCGAUAGGACUGCAGGGUGGUGCCUGUGGUGGAAAACGAUUUUCUAGUGGUUGGGGAUGAGCUCGCGGCCUAUCAGCUUGUUGGUGGGGUAAUGGCCUACCAAGGCGGCGACGGGUAGCCGGCCUGAGAGGGUGGACGGCCACAUUGGGACUGAGAUACGGCCCAGACUCCGACGGGAGGCAGCAGUGGGGAAUAUUGCACAAUGGGCGGAAGCCUGAGGCAGCGACGCCGCGUGGGGGAUGACGGCCUUCGGGUUGUAAACUCCUUUCGACCGCGAGGAAGCCACCUGGUUGGAAGGGUGGUGACGGUAGUGGUAGAAGAAGCACCGGCUAACUACGUG